CCCUUAGAUGUUCUGGGCUGCACGCGCGCUACACUGAUGCAUUCAACAAGUGUUUUUUGUUUGGUUUAUCAAUUUUUUGAUAGCCAGCUUUCCUUAAUCGAAAGAUUUGGGUAAUCUUGUGAAAGUGCAUCGUGAUGGGGAUAGAUUAUUGCAAUUAUUAAUCUUGAACGAGGAAUACCUAGUAAACGCAAGUCAUCAGCUUGCAUUGAUUACGUCCCUGCCCUUUGUACACACCGCCCGUCGCUCCUACCGAUUGAAUGGUCCGGUGAAUUUCAUGGACUGAGAGAAAGGAAACUUUUUGUUUUUUUUCCUUUUGGGAAGUGAAAUAAACCUUAUCAUUUAGAGGAAGGAGAAGUCGUAACA
rnacentral:rRNA from 1 species